UGUGUAUAUAAAAUUAGCUGCUCCAGUUUUUUUUUAUCUGUAACUUUAGCCAUGGAGAACUGCAAAUAUGUUACUACUGCUCUCAAUAACAAUGCUUCCCUGAAUUUAUCAACUUGACAUUUGUAGCUAUCUACAAAUGUCAGUCAGAAAAAGUUAUAUGAUGGACUACUUUCUGGAUGACGAUUGUGCCAUGCUGACUCUCUCUCACUCUGAAAAGAACACAUUUUGAAAUCAGUGGAACAUAACCGGCCAAACAAGCUGUGCAAACUAAACGGAAACAACACAGGAUGUCUUAUAAAAGGGGUGAAGCUUUCAUCCAUGUAUACAGAUGGCUGGCUAGCUAGCUUUGUCUGAGAUUGCCGGUGUUGUGAAGGACAGCACUUUGACGGGGGUCACCAUCCCACAGCUGGUUGGACUGGAGGAUGGUACAGUGCUGGUGGAAAGCUAUGGCUGGCAACAACACCUGACUCAGUACUUCAGGCCACUGCCACAUACUGUAUCAAGCAGUACCAGCACUUCAGGUAAAAAAUAAUUUCCAUUGUAUGAGUUUAUUCUUAUCUAAACUUUGGAGGUGAAUUGAUGUUGUGCAGGGUUGUAAUGUCUUCAGAUUUUUAGUUAUUCCCUAUUUUACAUCUUCAAUGCUCUGGAGCCUGGUGUUGUCAACCAAGGAGCGUUCGGACUGUCGGGACCAGGUUUCAGCUGCCGCGCAUCUUUCCUCCCAUAGAUGGUCUGCCUGUAAAAGCACCACCUGGACUGGCCAUAGACAAAAUAUAUUUUUGACAAGUUCAGGGAGUUUAGCGACGAAGAGGCUAUGGACAUCACAUGCCCUGGACCAAAGUCAAGGGCAGGGCAGAAAUGCGUGGUUUGGACGGACCAGUCAUGAGCACUAUCACACACACCAUACUUUGCUGCUACAAUUUAUUUAUCCUGCUGCUCAGCCACUUUACCCCUGAUUGUAUGCAUAUAACUACCUCGUCUAUCACUGAUAUCAUUAUUGACAUUGUUCUUGCACAUACUGUAUAUGUUAUAUAUAGUGACACCCUCCAUUUCUGAUAUUGUUACUAUGCAAGUAACCAUUUGGCUGUAACGUUUACACCUUCUGUAGAGACCAUCCACUUAGCAACAUAUUGAUAUAUAAUUAAUAUUGAUGUGUGGUCGUAACAUGAUUUUGUGACAUACCACAACAAUAUAAUGUGACCGUAUUAAGUGUCCACCCUUAUAAAUAUAUGGCGCAUGCAUCUGUUUAUGUACAGUACAUGUGCACCUCACUUAGGUUUCAACUCAUGUAUAGAUUACUAUGUGAUAAGUGCAUGUGUAACAGUAUAUAAAGUAUGCUAAUUUACUGGUGUGAAGGUAUUUGGGCAGUGCUGUAAAGUACUUAAGUAAAAAUACUUGAAAGUACUACUUAAGUAGUUUGUGGUAUCUGUACAUUACUUUACUAUUUUAUAUUUUUGGCUACUUUUACUUCACUACAUUCGUAAAGAAAAAUGUACUUUUUACUUUAAUACAUUUUCCCUGACACCCAAAAGUACUUACUUUUUGACAGGAAAAUGGUCCAAUUCACACACUUAUCCAGAGAACAUCCCUGGUCAUCCCUACUGCCUCUGAUCUGGCCGAAUCACUAAACACAAAUGCUUCUUGUAAAUUAUGUCUGAGUGUUGGAGUGUGCCCCUGGCAAUUGUCAAUAAAAAAAAGAUUUAAAAAAUAUAA